rnacentral:lncRNA from 1 species
CUCAGUUUCAUAUUUGCUUUGGUUCUAAUAUCUAUGCUUAUCUAGGAUAUAUUUAGUUUUUGUAGUACAGAUUUGUGGUUGCCUUAGAUGGCACUUUGUAAAUUUCAAAUAAUAAAAAAAUCUCCAAUCAUAUGCAUGCCCAGGUCUUCAAUUGAUCCGAACACUAGGAGCAAUAAUGAGAAAAGCGAUUGAUUUAAUUAGAUUGGGAAUUAGGGUUUUCUUCCACGGA